CAGAUCCGUUGAUGGCGUUCAUGGAGUAGCCGCAGGGCUCGAAGUCGAAGUCGCACACCUCCAUCUCAGGGAUGAUGUUGGAGAUACCAGAGAGCUUGGUCAUCUCCUUGGCACAGGAGACGUGGCCAUCAGCAGAAGUCUUGAAGAAGACAGAGGCCUUCUUCUUGUCAAGCCCAGUCAUGCACAUCUCCAGGGUGACCAUGGGCUGCUCGGGUUGCUCAGUGGCAUAGUAGAUGUGCCACUUCUGGCCAGGCUUCGCUGGGUCGCCAAUCACAUAGGCAUUGCCACCAGACUUCAGGUGGCCGAAGUAGCGGUUCAGGACAUCAACCUCCUCAGAGAAGCUCCUGUGGGGAGCAGGCUGUGCGCCGGGGAAGAUGAACAUCCCACGGGAGUACUUCACGGCAGCAAGCGGCAUGCACAGCUCCUCAGCUAGCUCAAGAAUCCUUGGAAUGGUGAGCAGAAGCAUGGUAGUCCCACAGGUCUUGAUCACAAUCUUCUGAGAGUAGAUAAACAGGCUCGACUCAGAUAGCACAUACGAGUCAAAGUCCUUGUUGGAGAGCUCGGACACAAUGGUGCACCGUGCAAGAUCAAGAACAGAGUCAAUCUGGGCCCUAGAGAGGGCGCGCAGGCCACGACCAUGAGG
rnacentral:lncRNA from 1 species